rnacentral:rRNA from 1 species
GAUGAACGCUAGCGGCAGGCUUAAUACAUGCAAGUCAAGGGGGUAGCAAUACAACCGGCGCACGGGUGAGUAACGCGUACACAACAUACCAUAUACUGGAGUAUAGCUUUGGGAAACUGAAGGUAAUCCUCCAUAACAUUGCGAGAGGGCAUCUGAUUGCAAUUAAAGUUUCGGCGGUAUAUGAUUGGUGUGCGUUUGAUUAGCUAGUUGGUAGGGUAACGGCCUACCAAGGCGACGAUCAAUAGCUGGCGUGAGAGCGCGACCAGCCACACUGGAACUGAGACACGGUCCAGACUCCUACGGGAGGCAGCAGUAGGGAAUAUUGGACAAUGGAGGAAACUCUGAUCCAGCCAUGCCGCGUGACAGAUGAAGGCCCUCUGGGUUGUAAAUAUCUUUUAUCUGGGAAGAAACACUCCUAUUCUUAGGAACUUGACGGUACCAGAGGAAUAAGCACCGGCUAACUCCGUGCCAGCAGCCGCGGUAAAGUAUCG